rnacentral:lncRNA from 1 species
AUGUUCCAAAAGUCUUCUCCUAAAUUGAGAAUCAUCAUAAGCAGCUAUUUGCACUUCGUCUUUGGGAUUCAAUUCUUCAAAAUACUAAACACACAAAGCAUAGAUGUGUCAUGAAAAAUGUUAAAAAUUAACUGUUUGAAAUUGUUUCUUUAAAAAAAGUUAUUAUUUUUUAAUAAUGUGCAUGUUUGUAGACCAUUAGCAAAAUAUGACUAAUACAGGUACACUGCAAAGUUGAAGACACUUACAGAUGAAUCAUAUCUUUUUGAAGGAACGAAAGGGGUAUCUUCACAAACUUGAUAAGGUUCCAAAAUAGUAACAUCUGGAUCGGAGCAAUUACCCCCAUCCUCCACCGUGGGUGUGUUUGUGGUAUUCUUACAACUCAUAUACUCCUUAUCACCAUCAACAAUCGAACUAGUGAAUUUCGCUUAACACUUGAACUUUGUCCUAGU